rnacentral:rRNA from 1 species
GACGAACGCUGGCGGCGUGCCUAAUACAUGCAAGUCGAACGAGAGCGACCGGUGCUUGCACUGGUCAAUCUAGUGGCGAACGGGUGAGUAACACGUGGGUAACCUGCCCAUCAGAGGGGGAUAACAUUCGGAAACGGAUGCUAAAACCGCAUAGGUCUUCGAACCGCAUGGUUUGAAGAGGAAAAGAGGCGCAAGCUUCUGCUGAUGGAUGGACCCGCGGUGCAUUAGCUAGUUGGUGAGGUAACGGCUCACCAAGGCCGUGAUGCAUAGCCGACCUGAGAGGGUGAUCGGCCACAUUGGGACUGAGACACGGCCCAAACUCCUACGGGAGGCAGCAGUAGGGAAUCUUCCGCAAUGGACGCAAGUCUGACGGAGCAACGCCGCGUGAGUGUAGAAGGUUUUCGGAUCGUAAAACUCUGUUGUUAGAGAAGAAUAAGUGCUAGAGUAACUGUUAGCGCCUUGACGGUAUCUAACCAGAAAGCCACGGCUAACUACGUG